AUUCUCACAAUUACUCUUUCAAAAGCAAACUUCAGGAAGGUAAUCUCACCGCGAGUUUGGGCACCUGCUGAGCUGUCCACGUUAAGCAAUGGGUCAGCGGCGGCGUGGGAAAUCCGGGGAAGAAGCCAGUGGCCGAGAGACAACAGACCGCGUGAGGCAGCGACAGUACGAGGCACGCCACCUAGCCUGCAGAGAGGGUCAUCUGCACACCAACAGGGUUUGCGACAAUGUCUAGACCUUCAUUCUAACAGAUGCAACCUUAAAGAGUGCUGAGAUUCAAGAAACACUGAGCAAGAUGGGUCUCGAUGCCGUGGUGGCCGCCUGCUACGUCUUUCUAGUACUUGUCUCUGUGCUCACAGUUCGCUUCUUCUACGUACUGUGGCACAGUGGCCAACCAGAGUCAAGGUUGUGCACCACCAGAUUGCGUUGUCUCAAUGUCCUUGGCUCCGGUGAGUACGUAUUGCAGUCUUGCCUGUCAAAUACCUUAUGGACAAGUUUUAGAUAUGGUUGCCUGGUAUAUAAAACGGUACUCAUACGUGUAAGCUCAUACGGUACUCAUACGGCAAAUAAAAACAUUCUCAAUCUGGGUAGUAAAAUUGUCUAUAAAUAAAAACAUUCUAAAUCUACUAAAGAAAAGGUCCAGAUUACCAGCUCCGGGUGAUGCUGAUGAGCUAUCUGUCAUUGAAGACCAAAUUGCAUGGAUUGUUCACAUAAUUACAUCCAUUGUCAAGUAAGUCAGGUAACAGGUGUUAGGUGAGCAAUAUAUUUUUUCUUUUAUUUGUAAAUUUUGUUCUUUUAAAUGUUGUCCUUGCUUGCUCUACAUAUAUGCGAUUCAGGAAGAGCCCGCAGAGAGGUCGAGGAGCAGCACUAGUUGUUUCUCUAACGUUGAUCAAGGCAAGCACAUCAAGGGGUCUCGGGCACCUCCCUCUCAUUGGUGUUGUCGUUGAACUAGUUAUGGUACAUUGGUAUGGCUGCAAAUUGAGAGAGAAAGACCUGGAAACAGUGAUGCAGCAUGUUCACACGAAGAUGGCAACAAUGGUAACAUUUGCAUUGGUCCUGUAAAUAAGGUAAAUUGAGGGCUAAGAUUGCUUGUUGAACCUUAUAAAAGGAGGUGUAGUUUUAUUUAUCCUAUUCUUGCUGCAGCCAUCACAAGGUCAGAUGCUAGCAACUUUAAUAGAUUUAUUUACUCUCUUAGAAGAAAAGGCCAAGAUGUUUGAGAUUUUAGUGCUUCAUUUAACUUUCAGCUUGUGUUGUCUUAGCUUACUAUGGCAUUAACCCACUACUCUCCUGAAUUGUCAUGUGAUCUGUAUCAUGUAUUCAUGAAAAAUGCAUUUUAUACUACAAGCACUUGUGGUUUUGAUAACUAUAUCCAGUUAUGAAAUCCACAACCCUUUGUUGUAUCAUGUAUUCAUGAAAAAUGCAUUUUAUGCUACAAGCACUUGUGGUUUUGCUAACUAUAUCCAGUUAUGCAAUCCACAACCCUUUGUAAUAGUGUAGGAUUAUGCCAAACAAGACAUUGGUUGAAUGAUAUGUUCAAACUAUUCAAAUGUUUUCUCUUUGUAACAGUUUGUGAUAUUGGAAUGAUAUGUUCAAUCCACAGUCCUUUGUUUGGGAUGGAUUUCUUUAUCUUGACUCUUGAGUAUAGUGUAUUUCUGACUAUCAUUUGUCAAUUUUGUUGACUUUUAUGCUCAUAACUUGAGAAACUUUUAUUAUAAGUGUACACUGUGUUUUAUUUUUUAAUGUUGUUUGACUGAUUACUGUAAGGAAUCUUGUGUAGGUAUUGAAUAUGCUUGCUUGAUGGACUAAAGAUCCAAACUCGAAUACCUUCUAACUUCAUAAGUUCAUAUCCCACGAGUCUGAUUACUUGUGGCUUGCUGAAGAUGACAUGAAGAUGCAGGAAGCUAAAAUUGAAAAGAUGAAAUAUGAGCAUCUGACGAGGGAGGCUGCUUUGGCAGAGAAGGAGCUUCUUGAAGAGGAGUACAAGAAAAAGUUUGAUGAGGCAAAGAAGGAACUAUCUCUGGAGAAUGAUCUAGCAGGCAUGUGGGUUCUUGUUGCUAAGUUGAAAAGAGGGGCUUUAGACAUAUCUGAUUUGAAUGUUGAUGAUUGAACUAAAGUGUAAGGGCGUACCGAUCACCACAUUGUUGUCUCAUAAUUGGUGUUAAUGAAAAUAACAUGGUGCUACACGGAAUCUCUACUUUCUCUUGUAAGAAGGAUUGUUUGUCAGCAUAAUUUGAUUUGCAUGUAAAAUGUCUUCAUGCUUUACUUGCCCUUUUGUGAAAUGUGGCGAUCGGUCCUCUUGCCUUCCUUUUCUGUUUCUGUUCUGCGGUAGAAUGAUUGGAGUAGAUUAUAAGUAUGGUGCUAAUUUCAUAUAAAUAAUAAUAAUUGUUGCUAAUUUAUGGUCAAGUUAGUAGGAUAAUAAUUUAGUCCCCAGAACAAAAUGUAUUGUUAAGUCUUAGCAAAAGAUUUAAAUUGGGUGCCAUGUCUGUGUGGAUGCAAAAAAAUGACAACUUUCUGCUUCGUGCUAGCUUGCGCGCCGUGGUGGUGCAGUGCAUUUGUGCCUAGAAGAAGCGGAUGGCGACGAAGGCGCUACAGGGUAGCGACAGUUAUGUGCCUUGUUUUCAUAAUUAUUGUCGUUGUAACGCAUGAGCACCAUACUAGUUCUCUUUUAAUUCUUCAAAGUUCAAAUUUCAAUCUUACCAAGUUAAAACUUAAAAAUAAAUUUCUUAAAUCAGUGCACAAACCCAGAACCCCAACAUGAUGCAUAGUUUUAUAUGUUUACUUAAUAUGUAUUUAAAAACAGGAACUAUGUUCCACAAAUAAAAUAUUACCAUAAUUUCUCACUUUGUUUUCUCGAGGAGUCAAUUAGUACCUUAAUACUAUGCAUAGUUUUAUGUACAUACAUUUAAGGGUUUACACCUAGGCUAGAGCUUGGCGAAUUGUGAUGUUAGGCAUUUUGUGAAGGAGAAUAAUUCUGGGUAAGUGAGUUUUGGUAACUGACUAUUCCAAAUAUCUCCUCAGUGCUUUACGGUCUGCCCUCCUCCAACUUUUACUAUUGCAAGACCUUUAUACCCAUCAAUCAACUUCACAAUAUCUUUCCACUAGAAUGAACCCUUUCUAUGAUCUCCUGGUAGCCUACCAUUAUGAUAAUAGUCAUCCCAUAUCAGAGUGACCCAUGGUAUAUAUGUCUUGUUAAAUAACUUAUCCAAAUGCCACAUGAGAAGAGCAUCAUUUCGCACUUGUAUCUUCAAAAUUCCAAGCCCCCCUUCAGAUUUUGGCUUUGUAAACAUGGACCAAGCUGCCAUUGUAGACUUCCUUGCAUUGAUAUCUCAUCCUCUCCAUAGACAAUUCUUUCGGUAUUUGUCAAUUUUUUAAUGAUUGUUUUGGCAGCUUCAUAGAGCCCAUGUAAUAACUUGGCAGCGAUGAGAGUUGACUAUUUGUAAUUUUCGAGCUUGUGACGGAAACAAGGAGGUGCAAGUCAACCUUUUUUAUCCUGUUGACCAUAGGUAGAAAAUCUUGGAUUCUUGGUUUCGUAGUUCGAAGAGGAAGCCCAAGCUAAGUGAAUGGGAAAGAUCCAUUAUGGCAAUUAAAAGUCUUAAAUAGAAGGUCCAUUUUUCUGUAGAGACAUUUAUGGGAUAAAUAUUUGAUUUUGCAUAGUGUGAAUACAUGGACUUGUUAAAUACUUUUGGUCUAAUAACCAACACCAUGCUAUGAAAAAUACUUUGGGAUACUACAAAUUUCAAAAACUCACAAAUAUAUAAAAUAAAAAUAAUUUUGUCAUCCAUAAAGGUACAUACUAAAAUUUUGCAUUGAAGUGUCACAAAAUAUAUAAAUUCAAUAGUUUAAAAUAUUAGUUAUAUUGAAGUAGUGAAGAUAAAAUAGCAGCAUGGAUUCAAUACCAUUAAACAUUACUAAAAAACAUAUUGCAUUAAGUUACAAAAUAAUGUUGCAAACUAGCGGAACAUGUGACAUUCAAGAAAUGGAGUAUGCUGUGCUAGGGAUGGUGAAGAGGUAGGUGUACACAAUAUAUCAAAUCUAGAAAAUUAAUGUACAAAUCUCCCUAGAUAGCAUUAUUUAGUAGUAUAAAUUAAAUAAUAUGUACCAAAUAUAUUAUUAUAUUUUGACAACGGUUCAUUUAUUCCUUUAAGGAUGCUUUGACCAGUCUAGUAUCUUCUGUCCUGCUUUGACCAGUCUUGUAUCUUCUCUCCUGAUUUAUGCCCCAAGAGACCUUUAAAUUCCACAAUAGCUUCUAUUGAGGCCACUCAUAGUUAGAGCCAUCGAUAAAAAAAACUCCAAAGCUCAAGUUGUUCGGUCACCAAGUUCGACCUGCCGCCGCCCUUACCGGAGAUCCCACCGCACAACAACAAUUCUAAAAUAUUCUUGUGUGCUUUGGACAACUCACGAAAUCAAAGGUAUACUUAUGUGGAGUAAAUUCAAAGUAUAUAUUUUGCAUAUUUUAGAAGUCCAUGAUUUCAUCUAAUUUUAGAGAUCUAGUUUCUCGAGAAAAGAGAUCCCUUGUGCAACUAGUUGCUCUAUUUUCUUAUGUGUCUUAAGAGAGAUAUUUAAAAACUAUUAUUCAACCGAGUUCUACCUCAGAUCCGCUCGUCCUCAUUUGAAUGCAUCAACAUAACAUGGCAAGACAACACACUCCUGAAGUACGUCCAUGUUACAGUAUAAUAAGGACUAAACCACGAAUUACAUAUUUCGUUAACACUGACAUUCUACAAUAAGCUAAAUCCAUAUAUAGGUGCUCGUGAUCUUGAAUUGCUGGUAUCUGAGAAAAAAUACUAUUUAUUUCUAAUAUUAUUAAUUUUUAGAACCAUAAGCAGAGGCAUUGGGUUCACCUUGGCAUCAAAAAAAUAUUUUCGUACUAUGUAAAACAUGUUGGAAAGGAAAACUUAUUGCUUCAUCCUGUCUCAUGUGUACCUGGCAUGCUAGUAACCAGCAAGAUCUUCCUUCUGUAUGUUUUUAUCUUGUUUUUCCUGCUUUUCCAAGUGCAUUGGCUGCUGCCUGCUCCUAGGUUGUCUUCUGCUUUGAAAUUAUUGACAAUCUCCCGUUCUAUCCAUAUAUGUUACUACAACUGUUUCAAAGC